rnacentral:rRNA from 1 species
UACGAAGGGGGCUAGCGUUGCUCGGAAUUACUGGGCGUAAAGCGCACGUAGGCGGCUCUUUAAGUCGGGGGUGAAAUCCUGGAGCUCAACUCCAGAACUGCCUUCGAUACUGAAGAGCUUGAGUCCGGGAGAGGUGAGUGGAACUGCGAGUGUAGAGGUGAAAUUCGUAGAUAUUCGGAAGAACACCAGUGGCGAAGGCGGCUCACUGGACUGGUAUUGACGCUGAUGUGCGAAAGCGUGGGGAGCAAACAGG